UGGGGAUAUGGCGGAAUGGUAGACGCAGCGGACUCAAAAUCCGUUGGUUUCACGGGACCGUGAGGGUUCGAAUCCCUCUAUCCCCAGC
rnacentral:tRNA from 3 species